GAGGGGGGUGCUGAAGAUGCUGUGCCUAGGGGCGCGUAAGGUGUAAAUCCGGCCCUGCUCAUCUGUUGUGGUACAACGGAAGCCUGAGGGUGAAUAAGGCAAUGAAUAUUUUCAAGAGCCCCACUUUUGUGCCCCCUAAUGGUGAGAGUGGAAAGGAAGCCAUGAACUAUGUGAUGUUCCAAGCAAUGUCACAAAGGCAUACCUCAAUGCACCUGGCACUGAAUGAAAACAAAUAUUGAAACAGCAGAAUUUUCCACAGAACAGAAAUUCCCAAUUUUCAACCAGCUGUCAGGAUUAUACACAGUAUCAAAUGCAAAGAAGCAGUGUUGCCACCUGACAAAGGAGGGUGAACAGCUCCCAGAACUGCUCCGACCACAGCUUGGAAGGGGGAGAGGGAACCCUGCUGCAGCCCUCCAGGCCUGCGAGAGGGGAGUGAAGAACCUCAGGAGGAGCAGAAGUGAGGCUGAGCUGAGGGGAAGUUGGAGGAGGGGGUUGAACUGGUGAGGACAUGCUAAUGGGGUGCUGAACUGAGGUUGGAAGGGCUGAACUGAAGGGGGCUCCUUCAGCAAGGGCCAGAAUGACCUUACCCAAUAAAUUUGGGAGAGUGGGCAACACUGUCUCACACUCACACUGGGGAGAGGCAAGGGGAGUUCAAAACUCAAUAGACAGCCCAAAAAUAAAAUCAACUCCCUCCUCCCCCAACAAUAUAGUCUUUUAAAAAGCCUCCUGAUUGUUUGGGCCAGUCUCCUGGUACUUUGGGGACUGACUCAUGAUUUUUGAUCUCUUCAGGUUGGCAAUCCUGAAAUAGCCAAAGCAAAGGUGCCAACUUCUGCUGGCACCGGUGGGUGCUCGACUCCCUUCUGCCCUCGACCCAGCCCCAACUCCACCCCUGCCCCGCCCCAUUCCAACCCCUUCCCCAAAGUACCCGCCCCAACUCCGCCCCCUCCCUGCCCCUAUUCCAACUCUGUCCCCAAAUCCCUGCCCCAGCGACACCUCUUCCUCGCCUCCUCCACUGAGCGCGCCACGUUCCCACUCCUCCUCCCUUCCUCCCAGAGCUUUUUACGCUGCAAAACUGUUGUUUUGUGGCAGCUGGGAUGCGGCGCACUCAGGGAAGAGGCGGAGGCAGAGGUGAGGUGAGGCGGGGGGGCGGGGAGGGGAGCUUGGCUGCCAGUGAGUGCAGAGCACCCACCAAUUUUUCCCCAGCGGUGCUCCAGCCCCAGAGCACCCAUGGAGAAAGCGCCUAUGAGCCAAAGGGACAAAUAGUAUUUGUGUUGUUUGUCACAAAUGAUAUAGUAGGAGAAAUGGACCUCCAGUGGACAGUACUAUCAUCACACAAACCUUCUGUGAAAAUAAUGAAAAUUUACAGCAAAAUAUAAUUAAAGGGAAUGGUCUAAACUUAACAAAUUUCACAUCAGUCUAUACAAUAGGCAUUCCCAGCUCCUGCUGAUGCCUCAGUAAAACUAAUAUUUCUUCCAUCAUAAAUGCAUUGCAAUAGCCUAAGGGGAAACAAUCCAGAGGUCUGUGAGAGUUGAAAUAGUAAUUUGUUUUGAAGAAAAUUAAGGAGUGACGGGCUCUAUUUGAGAAAUUAGAGGGAAAGAGUUUUUGUGCCUUUGUUUUAAACAAAGAACUGGGUUUGAGUUUUAUUUUCCAUGAGAAAAGUUCUGGCUAGUUUUGCAAAAAGUCACCUGGUUUUCACAUGAGGAAAUACAGUAUUUCUGUGACAAAGCCUGUCAUUGUUUUCUUUAUCAAUUUUAUCUUUCAGAGGUUUGUAGCUCAGAGAUAUGUGCUUUGUCCUGAAACUUUACAGUGCUUUUAUAAACUUUACAAAGGAUUUAUAAUAAUAAAUGUAUAUGGCUCUUUACAAACAUAGAUAGGUCAUUAUCCCUGCCCCAAAGAACUUGCAGAUUAAGGGGAGGUCUACACUAGUGUAAGGCCAAUUUUCAAUUAUGCCAUUUUGUUUUGAUAAAGCUGUUGUUUGGCCUCCAUGUUGUUAUCCCCUUCUUGUUUGCGCCCUUUUCAGUCCAAGGCAGGAAACUGCAGGGUUAUAGAAAUUUAAUCUGCCUGGAUACUGCUGGCAAGUCUGCCCAGUAACCAGAAAGAGCGGGAAAGAACAUGUGAUCAGGGUGUAGUCUAUAUAAGGACUUGUCACACAGAGACUGGUUGCUGUCCAUCCCAGUGGCAGCCCAGUGCCUACAGUCCUAGCCAAGACCUCAAGUCAACCCUAGAUGAAAAAUGACUAGCGUAGCUUUGGUUCCUGAUUCCCAGUGUUAUUAUUCCUGGUUCCUGCAUCGUUCCUGAGGGUUCCCAAGUUCCUGUAUUCCAGUGAUCCUGUUGUGUUCCUGUCCU